UACGGAGGGUGCGAGCGUUGUCCGGAAUCACUGGGCGUAAAGAGCGCGCAGGCGGUCGUUCAAGUCGAGUGUGAAAGCCCCCGGCUCAACUGGGGAGGGUCACGCGAUACUGAUCGACUCGAAGGCAGGAGAGGGAAGUGGAAUUCCCGGUGUAGUGGUGAAAUGCGCAGAUAUCGGGAGGAACACCGGUGGCGAAGGCGGUUCUCUGGGCCUUACCUGACGCUGAGGAGCGAAAGCGUGGGGAGCGAACAGG
rnacentral:rRNA from 1 species